rnacentral:rRNA from 1 species
AUUGAACGCUGGCGGCAUGCCUAACACAUGCAAGUCGAACGAGUGGCGGACGGGUGAGUAAUGUCUGGGAAACUGCCUGGCGUAGGCGGAUAACUACUGGAAACGGUAGCUAAUACCGCAUACCAUCAGAUGUGGCCAGGUGGGAUUAGCUUGUUGGUGUGCUAACGGCUCACCAAGGCGACGAGCCCUAGCUGGUCUGAGAGGAUGACCAGCCACACUGGAACUGAGACACGGUCCAGACUCCUACGGGAGGCAGCAGUGGGGAAUCUUGCACAAUGGGCGCAAGCCUGAUGCAGCAAUGCCGCGUGUAUGAAGAAGGCCUUCGGGUUGUAAAGUACUUUCAGCGGGGAGGCGUUACCCGCAGAAGAAGCCCCGGCUAACUCCGUGCCAGCAGCCGCGGUAAUAC